rnacentral:sRNA from 1 species
UUUGUCCUCCCGUCCGUUCCAAAAGUAUUUUCACAUAUUAUAAGCAAUUGUUUAUUGUUUUGCUUGUAGGUUUUUGGAUCUAUCGUAAAUUAUAUAAUAUAAAAUAUUAAAAAGAAGAAUGUGCCUGAGGACACGAAUGCCCCCGCUCAAGCUUGCUUAUAAUAUGUGAAAAUACUUUUGGAACGGACGGGAGGACAAA